UAAACAAAUCUAUUUUUAUGCCAAUAGAGAACGUGCUAUCAUGGUAGCAUUAUGUCCUAGCCUUCUCCAAGUAAACUAUGUUAGCAUUGUGUCAAAUCUUAGUUAAUUGAAGAUAGAAGCCUUCUCCAAGUAAAUUACGUUUAAGAUUAACAUUCUUAACCACUCCGGCAAUCUGUACUUCUCACUUAUAUUUGGUGCUAAUUUAUAUCGAUGUUGUUGACCACACAGAUUAUAUCAAACACCAUAGUUUCUAGGCCACCACCUGCAGAUACACAUCCAUUGGCUCAGGUGACUAGUGGAUUAAGUGGGAAGCCUUUAUUUGACUUAUCUACUAACAUUCUCAGGGAGAUGUAUAUCCUUACACGUGGAUGUGUGUCUAUUGCUUUCAUGGAACUAUAUCUAUUUGACUAUUUGUUUAAGCUUCUUUUCACUAAUAAUAGUGCUUCAAUUAUUCUUUGCCUUUACCUUCUAUUUAAACUAUUCUUUGCUUCUAACUAAUAUAGUUUUCCCACAAAUCUUUAGCUCACUUGAUGAUAACUAAAAAGAGUGUCUAUCGCAGGGUGCUGUUGACGUCCUCUAACUUCUUUUGCAAGCAUUCAGUCUAUUGCAGGGUGCAUCUGCUUAUUGACGAGAAGAUUCAUUGGAUGUAUGUGGACAUGUCAAAAGGAGGACCAUUGCAUGUGUCAGGACAAUGAUAUAAUUUGUCUACUUGUUCGGAUCAUAAGAUGAACUCAUGUAUUUGUCUGUUUUUGUUGUAUUUUUGUUGAAAUAGCCUUUAUAUUGUUAUGAUCGAUACAGUAGGCUUGAGUAUUGGAUGAUUGGUACUGUAUAUUUCUUUAAAAAUAAGCUUUGUAUAUUGUUUUGGGUUGCAAUGGUAAUUUUGGAAAUGGUCUGAAAUA